rnacentral:rRNA from 1 species
CUACCUAGUAGUACGGAAUAGCCAUUAGAAAUGGUGGGUAAUACUGUAUAAUCCCCGAGGGGGAAAGAUUUAUCGCUAUUAGAUGAGCCUACGUUAGAUUAGCUAGUUGGUGAGGUAAUGGCUUACCAAGGCUAUGAUCUAUAGCUGGUCUGAGAGGACGAUCAGCCACACUGGAACUGAGAUACGGUCCAGACUCCUACGGGAGGCAGCAGUGGGGAAUAUUGGACAAUGGGCGAAAGCCUGAUCCAGCUAUGCCGCGUGAGUGAAGAAGGCCUUCGGGUUGUAAAACUCUUUCAAUAGGGAAGAUAAUGACGGUACCUAUAAAAGAAGUCCCGGCAAACUCUAUGCCAGCAGCCGCGGUAAUA